GUUGACAUUGUUAAUGUCCAUUGUAGCUGGAAACAAGGACAUUUCGAAGUGACUCCAAACUUUUGAACGGUAGUGUACAUGCAUACACACACUUUUUUCCAGAACAUUAACCAUGUGUGCUUGUCUUGUACUGUUCUGUAGUUUUGACCCGAUGAUUCGUAUGACAGAACUUUGCGCCCUGCAGGCCCAGGCAUGGAUCAAAGCUGGCGAGACAUUCAAUGAUGUCAUCUUCACAGACGAAUCAACCAUGGCCCUUGAGCAAUUUGCUCAAAAUUGCUACAGAAAAAAAGGAAGAAGAUCAAGCAAGCUGAGUCCCAAGCAUCCGCUCAAACUCCAUGUGUGGGGGCAAUUUCUCGCCAGGGACCAGGCCCAUAUUUGAUGGUAUAAUGGCUCGAGAUUUCUUUGAGGAAGAAAUCAUCAAGAAAUAUGCUGGACCCUAUGCAAGAGAGGUGUUUCUGGGACCACAUCGUUUCUUUCAAGGAAAGGAUUAUAGCAAUAUUUUGUUAUGUUUAGGCCUAUUUACAUGUAUAUUUCUAGUAUUGUACCUAAUUUUGCCUGUUAGGCUAAAUGUCUUUUUUUCUUCUCCAAAAGCAGACAAUGACCGAAAACACACUGCCGCCCGGUUUGCAUUGCCGCCCGGUUUGCAUUGCAAAUGAGGGCAUGACCUGGGUCAAGACGCCAGCAGAGAGGGAGAGAAAUCAAAAGCCUACCAUCACCUCAUGGGUCUCCCAGUCGCGGCCGGCACGGGUAUUGAACCAGCAUCUGUAGCAAUGCAGUUUGCACUGCCUUAGACCGCUGUGCCACUCAGGCGCUGUUCAACGUGACCAGUCGGGAGUAGAAAACAGUACUACAGUAAGAGCAAAAAUAAUCCUAACAUUUCCACACCAUCAUUGUCAUCUAAAUUUCUCUUAGAAUAAAAACCUUAAUGUAAUAACAGUUUUAGUAAGUAAUACUGACGAGCAGUAACAAAAACGUGUAUUUUUAGAGACACAGUAGCACCUUGGAACCCAAAAGCAUAAUCAGUGCUCUAACUCCUCCUUGCGCUGGUCUGGUCAAUGAAGUAGUGACGCAGGGUACCGUACUAAACCACAAAUGACCUCUAAAUCCUGCAGCAUAACCACACAUUCUUUUAGUUGAGCAACCCCUGUAGUACCCGCUCUGUAGAAGCAAGCCAAAGCUUCCAAUGAAUUGGGCGAUGUACCGUGCCUACAGACACGCCCCAUUUAUGACAGUCAAAACUUUGGAGGUAGUGUCAUGGUGCGUUCAUA
rnacentral:lncRNA from 1 species